rnacentral:rRNA from 1 species
UACGGGAGUGGCAAGCGUUAUCCGGAAUUAUUGGGCGUAAAGCGUCCGCAGGCGGUCUUGUAAGUCUGUUGUUAAAGCGUGGAGCUUAACUCCAUUUCAGCAAUGGAAACUGUAAGACUAGAGUGUGGUAGGGGCAGAGGGAAUUCCCGGUAUAGCGGUGAAAUGCGUAGAUAUCGGGAAGAACACCAGUGGCGAAGGCGCUCUGCUGGGCCAUAACUGACGCUCAUGGACGAAAGCCAGGGGAGCGAAAGGGAUUAGAUACCCCUGUAGUCCUGGCCGUAAACGAUGAACACUAGGUGUCGGGGGAAUCGACCCCCUCGGUGUCGUAGCCAACGCGUUAAGUGUUCCGCCUGGGGAGUACGCACGCAAGUGUGAAACUCAAAGGAAUUGACGGGGGCCCGCACAAGCGGUGGAGUAUGUGGUUUAAUUCGAUGCAACGCGAAGAACCUUACCAGGGUUUGACAUCCUGCGAAUCUUUUGGAAACAGAAGAGUGCCUUCGGGAACGCAGUGACAGGUGGUGCAUGGCUGUCGUCAGCUCGUGUCGUGAGAUGUUGGGUUAAGUCCCGCAACGAGCGCAACCCACGUCGUUAGUUGCCAGCAUUUAGUUGGGCACUCUAGCGAGACCGCCGGUGAUAAACCGGAGGAAGGUGUGGAUGACGUCAAGUCAUCAUGCCUCUUACAUCCUGGGCUACACACGUACUACAAUGCUACGGACAAAGGGCAGCAAACUCGCGAGAGCUAGCAAAUCCCAUAAACCGUGGCUCAGUUCAGAUCGUAGGCUGCAACUCGCCUACGUGAAGGAGGAAUCGCUAGUAAUCGCAGGUCAGCAUACUGCGGUGAAUACGUUCCCGGGCCU